rnacentral:rRNA from 1 species
GAGUUUGAUCCUGGCUCAGAUUGAACGCUGGCGGCAGGCCUAACACAUGCAAGUCGAACGGUAACAGGAAGAAGCUUGCUUCUUUGCUGACGAGUGGCGGACGGGUGAGUAAUGUCUGGGAAACUGCCUGAUGGAGGGGGAUAACUACUGGAAACGGUAGCUAAUACCGCAUAACGUCGCAAGACCAAAGAGGGGGACCUUCGGGCCUCUUGCCAUCGGAUGUGCCCAGAUGGGAUUAGCUUGUUGGUGGGGUAACGGCUCACCAAGGCGACGAUCCCUAGCUGGUCUGAGAGGAUGACCAGCCACACUGGAACUGAGACACGGUCCAGACUCCUACGGGAGGCAGCAGUGGGGAAUAUUGCACAAUGGGCGCAAGCCUGAUGCAGCCAUGCCGCGUGUAUGAAGAAGGCCUUCGGGUUGUAAAGUACUUUCAGCGGGGAGGAAGGGAGUAAAGUUAAUACCUUUGCUCAUUGACGUUACCCGC